AGUACUCGUAAUGAUAUUGUACUUUGCGGACUUUGAAUCAGCGGCAUGAAUAGAUUGUGUCUGGCUGAUAAGAGUGUUUAAAUACUCUUUUAUUAUUUUUUUUUGCUUCAUUCAUUUAAUGCCUUUGUUUUAUAAGUGUCGCCUGUUAUCGUUAUGGAGGCAUAAGCCUUUAAGCCACUUAUUAAACAUUGUUCGCUCAGCUUAUCGCUUUUUAGUGACACACAAAUGCCUGAAACUCACUAAUGUAUGUAUGUAUGUAUAUCUCUCAGUCUGUGAUAAAAUCCAGAAAGUAUUGGAAACAUCCUUGAGUUCGCUUGGAUAUACAUAUGUACAUACGCCAAGCUCCUUGAUGUUGUGUGACUCUACUCUGGUUCUAGACUAGCAAUUUGCAUGACAUUGCAUAUAAAAAAUCUAUUUAUUGUGAGGGAAGCCUUUUUGGGGAGCUUUCAGAAAGAAAAGGACGCUUCACCAAGAUUCGGUACCUAGAGCAAGCCAAGCCGACGUUAGUUCAAUUGAAAUUGCAUCGAAUGUCCCACAGGCUGCACUGAGCGUCUGUCAUUUGGGAAGAAGAGUACGGGGGGGGCCUGUGUGCUCUGCUUAAGUAUUAAAAUUAAUUCGUCAUAGUGCUAAAACACGCCAAUGAACAAAAGGAACGGAACAGCCAGCAGAAGCAAAGUCAUCCGGCAGUUUGGACUUUGGACGCUCUACGUGAUGUAGUCGUCGUCUGGACGGGCGGGCGAUGACGACGACAGCGACGACGGCGACGACAACUCCCGCGGCUGUGUGGCGCUGAAAAAAUUCGAUGCGACGCGUCGGCUCUGGAGCGCGUGUUUUAUUUGAGCGAAGAUGGAGGAAACAAGAAACACAGGCGAAUAAGAUUCAAAUAUAAUUCAUUGACUAAAUUUAGACGGGACCAAAGACCAACUCUUGGGCAUACGUCAUGGCAUGUCAUGGCGUGUGGUUAAAUGUGCAGGGUAGAGAUGGACGGCGACUGAGGCAUGGACCAACACGGCAACGAAACUAGAAUAUUCCAGUCCACGCGAAGACGAGCUCGCAGCGACAUUCACACACGUACAUACAUACAUAUGUAUGUAUGUACAUAUCUUCAGUCAGAAUUUUUAAUUUUAUUAUCAUUUAAGAGUCAAUAAUAAAGCUUAUUGGAGAUACUCGUACAACGCCAAGAACGCAAAUCAAGACCGUCAUAUCUCUGAAGUGCUUUAUCAAAUGAUAUAUUUUUGUACCAUUAAAAGCUUAUUACUUCAUUUGAGA